AUGGCGAUGGCGGGCGGCGGGGGACUGAACCGGUCCUCAUCGCGGGGGCAGCUGCCGCCGCAGGAGCUCCUCGACGAUCUCUGCAGCCGGUUCGUGCUGAACGUGCCCAAGGAGGACCUGGAGUCGUUCGAGCGGAUCCUGUUCCUGCUGGAGCAGGCGCACUGGUUCUACGAGGACAACUCCGUGGAGCACAACCCCUCCCUCAAGUCCCUCUCCUUCAAGGACUUCACCUCCCUAAUGUUCAACAGCUGCGCCGCUCUCAGGCCCUACCGCGCGCACCUCGACGACAUCUACAAGGACUUCACGCACUACAAGUUCCGGGUCCCCGUCUCCGGCGCCAUCAUCCUCGAUGACAACUAUGACAGGUGCUUACUUGUGAAAGGAUGGAAGUCUAGUGCCAGCUGGAGUUUCCCCCGUGGAAAGAGGAGCAAAGAUGAAGAGGAUCAUACUUGUGCAGUUAGAGAAGUUCUGGAGGAGACUGGGUGUGAUGUUUCUAAGCUGUUGAAAAUGGAUGACCACAUUGAAGUUUCAAUUGGACAACAGAGAGUUCGACUCUAUAUUAUUACGGGUGUUAAGGAAGAUACUGUUUUUGCUCCUCAAACUAAGAAAGAAAUCAGUGAGAUCUCAUGGCACAGAAUUGAUGAUCUUCUACCUGCUAGUGAUGAUGCAAUAUCUCGUGGAGUGAAUGGGAUGAAGCUUUAUAUGGUUGCACCAUUUUUGAUGGGUCUAAAAUCAUGGAUAGGCACACAUCGGUCCCAAGUAUAUCAGAAGUCAGAUACAUCUGCUAGAGGUACUGUGUGGAAAGCGAAGAAUCCCUCGGGUGUCUUUGUGCCUGUCGAGAACCCUGUUAUUACUAGAGCAGGAUCUGACACACAGAACCCUGUAAUUACUAGAGCAGGAUCUGGCACGCAGCACGUCGACAACCGCCCUGGCAAAAGCUUCAGAAGCUUCAGAUUCGAUACGGCCAGUAUCCUGCAGUCCAUGGAAGCUUCCUUUCUGCAUACCUAG
rnacentral:rRNA from 1 species